AGGUUUCUUUCAUUUGACAGGUAUCACACACAGGAAUAACUCUCCUUUAAACGAUUUUCACCUGACAGAUUCGUCAUUAAGUCAGACAUUUUCCUGACAGCACAGCUACAUAGGGAUGGAAUCUGAGUUGUUUGGUGACAUCACCGCCGCACUGCCAAUGGGAAGGAGGGGUUUGCCCUAGCAGGUUC